GUGCCAGCAGCCGCGGUAAUACGUAGGUGGCAAGCGUUAUCCGGAAUUAUUGGGCGUAAAGCGCGCGUAGGCGGUUUUUUAAGUCUGAUGUGAAAGCCCACGGCUCAACCGUGGAGGGCCAUUGGAAACUGGAAAACUUGAGUGCAGAAGAGGAAAGUGGAAUUCCAUGUGUAGCGGUGAAAUGCGCAGAGAUAUGGAGGAACACCAGUGGCGAAGGCGACUUUCUGGUCUGUAACUGACGCUGAUGUGCGAAAGCGUGGGGAUCAAACAGGAUUAGAUA
rnacentral:rRNA from 1 species